rnacentral:rRNA from 1 species
AGUGAACGCUGGCGGUAGGCCUAACACAUGCCAGUCGAACGGCAGCACAGUAAGAGCUUGCUCUUACGGGUGGCGAGUGGCGGACGGGUGAGGAGUACAUCGGAAUCUACUUUUUCGUGGGGGAUAACGUAGGGAAACUUACGCUAAUACCGCAUACGACCUACGGGUGAAAGCAGGGGAUCUUCGGACCUUGCGCGAUUGAAUGAGCCGAUGUCGGAUUAGCUAGUUGGCGGGGUAAAGGCCCACCAAGGCGACGAUCCGUAGCUGGUCUGAGAGGAUGAUCAGCCACACUGGAACUGAGACACGGUCCAGACUCCUACGGGAGGCAGCAGUGGGGAAUAUUGGACAAUGGGCGCAAGCCUGAUCCAGCCAUACCGCGUGGGUGAAGAAGGCCUUCGGGUUGUAAAGCCCUUUUGUUGGGAAAGAAAAGCAGCAGGUUAAUACCCCGCUGUUCUGACGGUACCCAAAGAAUAAGCACCGGCUAACUUCGU